CAUAUCAAUAAGCGGAGGAAAAGAAACCAACAGGGAUUGCCUCAGUAACGGCGAGUGAAGCGGCAAAAGCUCAAAUUUGAAAUCUAGCACCUUCGGUGUUCGAGUUGUAAUUUGAAGAUGGUAACCUUGGGUUUGGCUCUUGUCUAUGUUCCUUGGAACAGGACGUCAUAGAGGGUGAGAAUCCCGUCUGAUGAGAUGCCCAUUCCUAUGUAAGGUGCUAUCGAAGAGUCGAGUUGUUUGGGAAUGCAGCUCUAAGUGGGUGGUAAAUUCCAUCUAAAGCUAAAUAUUGGCGAGAGACCGAUAGCGAACAAGUACAGUGAUGGAAAGAUGAAAAGAACUUUGAAAAGAGAGUGAAAAAGUACGUGAAAUUGUUGAAAGGGAAGGGCAUUAGAUCAGACUUGGUGUUUUACGAUUAUCUUCUCUUCUUGAGUUGUGCACUCGUAUUUCACUGGGCCAGCAUCGAUUCGGAUGGCAAGAUAAUGGCAGUUGAAUGUGGCUUCACUUCGGUGGAGUGUUAUAGCUUCUGCUGAUAUUGCCUGUCUGGAUCGAGGGCUGCGUCUUUUGACUAGGAUGCUGGCGUAAUGAUCUAAUGCCGC
rnacentral:rRNA from 1 species